CGUAACCAAUAGCCUCCAUACGAUGUGAGAACUAAAAUCUUAAUUUUACAAUUAUUUUAUCCGCCUUCGAGCCACUGACUCUCAUUUCAAGUAAGCUGAUAAUGUCUGGUUUAUACUCCAUAUUAUACUCUCAAAAAAUACGGUAAAAUCUUGCAUUGGCACAAUCUUGACAAUUCCAUGAAAAAAUUAAAAUAGUCAUGUAAAAUUAACGAGGAGAAUAAAGGGCAUACCGUUACUGUUGAGGCUCACUGGUGUCGCUAGGGUCGGAUUCAUCAUGCAAACCGAUGUCCUUUUCAUUUGUCAACUCCGUUGAGAUAAGAUUCACCAUUUCUUCCACUGUGUUGACUAGGGAAACUCGGGAGUUGGUCAAUGCUUUCAAACGACUACCCCUUCCUCGCAUAGCAAUAUUAGAGUUUUUACCUCCACGGGCAACACCAAUUUUACCAUUAAUUUUUCGUUCUUUACUUCCUGAGCUAUUGGUUCCUAAAGGUUCUGAGUGUCGACUUUUGGUGCGACUAAUGAAAUUUGAAAUUUCCUUAAAAGUGAUCGCAGAGUGUUUUCCAAGUCUAAAAUACCUUCUGUUAAUUUAAUAGAAACCUUUUUCGGGUAUUCAGAACCAGGUUUAAAAAGCGCUGUGGUGUUGUCUAAUUUGGACUCGUUUGCAUGUCCAGAGUCUCCACUUGGGCCAGUUAGCAAAUCGGCCUGUUCGUUAGGGACUUGGACUACUGCCCGAACCCAUAGACUCUAGAUGUGCCAUGAAUUUGUCUUUUGGUGACUUGCCAUUUAUUUGACUUUUACAUUUGGAAUUUUUUUCCUUGGCAUUCGGGACAGUAAGAACUAAAAUGGUAGUGUUUUGGGGAUAAGGCAUAGAACAGUUGUUAUUUAGCACCGAAUGGGAAACUGAUUCAAGCUCUAAGGAAAGUGUUUGAUUUUACUUUCUUUUUUUGGCUUUCGGGUAACCGUUGGCUUCCUGCAAGGGGUUAGGCAAAAAGGUUGUAGGUUCUUGCAGGCUAUCCUCAGGGUUCAGUACAGACAAGGUAGCAAACUGCUGCGAUGACGAGGCGCCUUUAGCUUGGUUUGCCUUUGGCUAGAACCCGAAUUUCAAUCUGGAAUGAUGUGUGCCAGGAUUGAAAGAUGGUAGGUUGCAUGGAAAUGGUUUGAGAAAACAUUAUAAUCUGGUUUCUAAAUUGUUAGAUCAAUAUUCGAGGCAAUGGAAGGGAGAGAUAAUUACUCACAUAAUGUUUGUAGAUGAGGCAAGGAAAGGUUUGAGUAUUCAUCUGUCUCGUCAUUGGUAGGAGGAUAAACAAAUCUGAGGAGAUAAGUUGUGCGGAGAGUAUUCGGUAUGAAGUGGGUACAAGUUAUUGUUGGAAAAGUUUGCUGAAGUGGAGCCUACCUUACAACAGUCAACAUCUAAGCAGGUAUACAAAAAAAAUAUGGCUUACAAAGCUUGCAAAAAAAAUUAAAAUUACACUUUGGAGAGCUUAUAGAAAUUUUAUCCCUAUCUACAUAAAUUUAUAGAAAAGAAUGUUGUGAAAUCGGCUGCUUGUCCUAGGUGUACAUAGAAAGAUAAGUUUCUUGAACAUGCCUUCCGCGACUAUCAGGCUGUC
rnacentral:lncRNA from 1 species